AGAGUUUGAUCCUGGCUCAGAUUGAACGCUGGCGGCAUGCCUUACACAUGCAAGUCGAACGGCAGCACGGGAGCAAUCCUGGUGGCGAGUGGCGAACGGGUGAGUAAUGCAUCGGAACGUGUCCUGUAGUGGGGGAUAGCCCGGCGAAAGCCGGAUUAAUACCGCAUACGACCUGAGGGUGAAAGCGGGGGAUCUUCGGACCUCGCGCUAUAGGAGCGGCCGAUGUCAGAUUAGGUAGUUGGUGGGGUAAAGGCCUACCAAGCCGACGAUCUGUAGCUGGUCUGAGAGGACGACCAGCCACACUGGGACUGAGACACGGCC
rnacentral:rRNA from 1 species